UACGUAGGGGGCAAGCGUUGUCCGGAAUCAUUGGGCGUAAAGAGCGUGUAGGCGGCCAGAUAAGUCCGCUGUGAAAUCUCGAGGCUCAACUUCGAGCUGUCGGUGGAAACUGUCUGGCUAGAGUCCGGAAGAGGAGAAUGGAAUUCCUGGUGUAGCGGUGAAAUGCGCAGAUAUCAGGAGGAAGACCGGUGGCGAAGGCGGCCUGCUGGGCAGUUACUGACACUGAGGCGCGACAGCGUGGGGAGCAAACAGG
rnacentral:rRNA from 1 species